rnacentral:rRNA from 1 species
UACAGAGGGUGCGAGCGUUAAUCGGAAUCACUGGGCGUAAAGGGUGCGUAGGCGGGUUUUUAAGUCAGAGGUGAAAUCCUGGAGCUCAACUCCAGAACUGCCUUUGAUACUGAAAGUCUUGAGUAUGGGAGAGGUGAGUGGAACUGCGAGUGUAGAGGUGAAAUUCGUAGAUAUUCGCAAGAACACCAGUGGCGAAGGCGGCUCACUGGCCCAUUACUGACGCUGAGGCACGAAAGCGUGGGGAGCAAACAGG